GUGACGGGCCAGGUCUCCCGGCCGCCGGUGAGGACGUGCUCGCCGAAGUACUCGCCGUCGGCGAGCACGUCCCGCGAGGUCUCGUCCCCGUAGGGCCCCGGGGUCCGGGUGUUGACCUUGCCGUGGGCCAGCAGCAUCAGCUCAUCGGCGGGCUGGCCCGCGGUGGUGAUGCUCUCCCCCGCCGCGUAGUGGUGCUGGGUGAACCUGUCGGCCAGCGCGGUCAGCACCGUCUCGUCGUCGAGAUCGCGCAGGGAGGCGAUCUCGCGGAGUUCCGGCGGCAGCACGCGAACCUGAUCGCCGGUGUUGGAGAACGUCAGACGCCCGUCGCCGAGCUCGUAGGUCAGCCUGCGGUUGACCCGGUAGGAACCGCUGGUGGUUUCGGUCCAGGGCAGCAUGCGCAGCAGCCACCGCGGGCUGAUCGACUGCAUCUGCGGCGGCGUCUUCGUCGUCGUCGCCAGAUUGCGUGCUGCCGCGGUCCCCAGGCUGAGUUGCUGCUGGGCGU
rnacentral:antisense_RNA from 1 species